AGGCUUCGGGUUGUAAACUGCUUUUGUACGGAACGAAAAAGCUCGGUUAAUACCCGGGGUCCAUGACGGUACCGUAAGAAUAAGCACCGGCUAACUACGUGCCAACAGACGAGGUAAUACGUAGGGUGCAAGCGUUAAUCGGAAUUACUGGGCGUAAAGCGUGCGCAGGCGGUUAUAUAAGACAGAUGUGAAAUCCCCGGGCUCAACCUGGGAACUGCAUUUGAGACUGUAUAGCUAGAGUGCGGCAGAGGGGGAUGGAAUACCGCGUGUAGCAGUGAAAUGCGUAGAUAUGCGGAGGAACACCGAUGGCGAAGGCAAUCCCCUGGGCCUGAACUGACGCUCAUGCACGAAAGCGUGGGGAGCAAACAGGAUUAGAUACCCUGGUAGUCCAAACCCUAAAAGAUGUCAACUGGAAGAAGAGUUUCCACUUGACUCAG
rnacentral:rRNA from 1 species